rnacentral:lncRNA from 1 species
AAGCAGCUGCAGCAGGCGGUCACAGGCAUUUCCAAUGCAGCCCAGGCCACUGCCUCAGACGAUGCCUCACAGCACCAGGGUGGAGGAGGAGGAGAACUGGCAUAUGCACUCAAUAACUUUGACAAACAAAUCAUUGUGGACCCCUUGAGCUUCAGCGAGGAGCGCUUUAGGCCUUCCCUGGAGGAGCGUCUGGAAAGCAUCAUUAGUGGGGCUGCCUUGAUGGCCGACUCGUCCUGCACGCGUGAUGACCGUCGUGAGCGAAUUGUGGCAGAGUGUAAUGCUGUCCGCCAGGCCCUGCAGGACCUGCUUUCGGAGUACAUGGGCAAUCAGCAUGUCAGCAUUCCGUCUGCAGUUGAGAUGUUGAUUCCUCCUUGUAUUGCACAUUGCUGAAAGGGGCUUCCUGAGGCUGGAGAGAGCAGUGAGGCUGGACGUAAAGAAAGAAGUGAUGCACUCAAUUCUGCAAUAGAUAAAAUGACCAAGAAGACCAGGGACUUGCGUAGACAGCUCCGCAAAGCUGUCAUGGACCACGUUUCAGA